rnacentral:lncRNA from 1 species
UGCCACCUAGCCCAUUAGAAGUUUACUACAAGCUGCACUAUAAUGCCAAGAAAAAAGGAUGGCUAAAUGAAGAUUCACAUAUUGUAUAUGAUAAUAUUUGUAAACAUAAAGAGGCAGCCAUGGCUAGAUUGAAUACCGAAGGAACCAUCGUUACUACUGCUAUGGAACACGACGUGGAGAGAGAAGCCAUCAAAAGUGUAUGUGGAAGGGCUAAAACAAUACAAUCAGCAUGGGAGGUAGGUGUUGGUCCUGUGUUAAGGAAAAAAGAUAACUGGAUGAAAUCGGCAGUCGAAUCAUCUCAACGAGAUUCAACCGAGAACGAAAAUUUGAGAAAUGAGGUUUCUGAACUCAAGGAGGAAUUGAAACAGAGUAACGAAAAAUACGA